rnacentral:rRNA from 1 species
GUGGGGAAUAUUCCGCAAUGGACGAAAGUCUGACGGAGCAACGCCGCGUGAGUGAUGAAGGUUUUCGGACUGUAAAGCUCUGUUGUUCAGGACGAAAGUGCCUGUUGCGAACAGUUACAGGUAUUGACGGUACUGAACGAGGAAGCCACGGCUAACUACGUGCCAGCAGCCGCGGUAAUACGUAGGUGGCAAGCGUUGUCCGGAAUUAUUGGGCGUAAAGAGCAUGUAGGCGGGAAUCUAAGUCUGUUGUGAAAAUGCGGGGCUCAACCCCGUAUGGCGAUGGAAACUGGAUUUCUUGAGUGCAGGAGAGGAAAGGGGAAUUCCCAGUGUAGCGGUGAAAUGCGUAGAUAUUGGGAGGAACACCAGUGGCGAAGGCGCCUUUCUGGACUGUGUCUGACGCUGAGAUGCGAAAGCCAGGGUAGCGAACGGGAUUAGAUACCCUUGUAGUCC